rnacentral:rRNA from 1 species
AUGAACGCUAGCUACAGGCUUACACAUGCAAGUCGAGGGGCAGCAUGGUCUUAGCUUGCUAAGGCCGAUGGCGACCGGCGCACGGGUGAGUAACACGUAUCCAACCUGCCCUUUACUCGGGGAUAGCCUUUCGAAAGAAAGAUUAAUACCCGAUAGUAUAAUGAUUCCGCAUGGUUUCCUUAUUAAAGGAUUCCGGUAAAGGAUGGGGAUGCGUUCCAUUAGGUUGUUGGUGAGGUAACGGCCCACCAAGCCUUCGAUGGAUAGGGGUUCUGAGAGGAAGGUCCCCCACAUUGGAACUGAGACACGGUCCAAACUCCUACGGGAGGCAGCAGUGAGGAAUAUUGGUCAAUGGACGAGAGUCUGAACCAGCCAAGUAGCGUGAAGGAUGACUGCCCUAUGGGUUGUAAACUUCUUUUAUACGGGAAUAAAGUGAGGCACGUGUGCCUUUUUGUAUGUACCGUAUGAAUAAGGAUCGGCUAACUCCGUGCCAGCAGCCGCGGUAAUACGGAGGAUCCGAGCGUUAUCCGGAUUUAUUGGGUUUAAAGGGAGCGUAGGCGGACGCUUAAGUCAGUUGUGAAAGUUUGCGGCUCAACCGUAAAAUUGCAGUUGAUACUGGGUGUCUUGAGUACAGUAGAGGCAGGCGGAAUUCGUGGUGUAGCGGUGAAAUGCUUAGAUAUCACGAAGAACUCCGAUUGCGAAGGCAGCUUGCUGGACUGUAACUGACGCUGAUGCUCGAAAGUGUGGGUAUC